CCCUGCCAUUUGUACACACCGCCCGUCGCACCUACCGAUUGGAUGGUCCGGUGAAGCCCUCGGACCGCGGCCAGUAACCUUCGGGUUCUGGCCACGGGAAGUUGGCUAAACCUUACCAUCUAGAGGAAGGUGAAGUCGUAACAAGGUUUC
rnacentral:rRNA from 1 species